rfam:Canis lupus familiaris chromosome 3, whole genome shotgun sequence.
AUGUGACUUGUGGGCUUCCCUUUGUCAUCCUUUGCCUAGGGUUCUGAGAGGGGCAGGGACAGCAAAGGGGUGCUCAGUUGUCACCUCU